GUUAAGCGACUAAGCGUACACGGUGGAUGCCCUGGCAGUCAGAGGCGAUGAAGGACGUGCUAAUCUGCGAAAAGCGUCGGUAAGGUGAUAUGAACCGUUACAGCCGGCGAUGUCCGAAUGGGGAAACCCAGUGCAAUUCGUUGCACUAUCGUUAACUGAAUACAUAGGUUAACGAGGCGAACCGGGGGAACUGAAACAUCUAAGUACCCCGAGGAAAAGAAAUCAACCGAGAUUCCCCCAGUAGCGGCGAGCGAACGGGGAGCAGCCCAGAGUCUGAAUCAGCUUGUGUGUUAGUGGAACGGUCUGGAAAGUCCGACGGUACAGGGUGAUAGUCCCGUACACCAAAAUGCACAGGUUGUGAACUCGAAGAGUAGGGCGGGACACGUGGUAUCCUGUCUGAAUAUGGGGGGACCAUCCUCCAAGGCUAAAUACUCCUGACUGACCGAUAGUGAACCAGUACCGUGAGGGAAAGGCGAAAAGAACCCCGGCGAGGGGAGUGAAAAAGAACCUGAAACCGUGUA
rnacentral:rRNA from 1 species